rnacentral:rRNA from 1 species
AGUCAUAUGCUUGUCUCAAAGAUUAAGCCAUUCAUGUCUCAGUGCAAGCCACAUUAAGGUGAAACCGCGAAUGGCUCAUUAAAUCAGUUAUGGUUCCUUGGAUCCUACCAAUCCUACUUGGAUAACUGUGGUAAUUCUAGAGCUAAUACAUGCACCCAGAGCUCCGUCCAGAAAUGGCCGGGGCGCAGUUAUUAGAUCAAAACCAAUCGGUCGGGCUCGCCCGUCCGUAGUUUUGGUGACUCUGAAUAACCACCGCUGAUCGCACGGCCUCGCGCCGGCGACGUAUCCUUCGAAUGUCUGCCUUAUCAACUGUCGAUGGUAGGUUCCGCGCCUACCAUGGUUGUAACGGGUAACGGGGAAUCAGGGUUCGAUUCCGGAGAGGGAGCCUGAGAAACGGCUACCACAUCCAAGGAAGGCAGCAGGCGCGCAAAUUACCCACUCCCGGCACGGGGAGGUAGUGACGAAAAAUAACGAUACGGGACUCAUCCGAGGCCCCGUAAUCGGAAUGAGAACACUUUAAAACUUUUAACGAGUACCUAAUGGAGGGCAAGUCUGGUGCCAGCAGCCGCGGUAAUUCCAGCUCCAUUGGCGUAUAU